rnacentral:sRNA from 2 species
UUGCAUUUGAAGCCCAUGAGGAUGAGAACCUCCGGGGGCGGGGAGGUUCGACUCGAGCGAAGCGAGAGAACGUUGCGCCAGCAACGGCC